UUCGAGUGGCGGACGGGUGAGUAACGCGUGGGUAACCUGCCUUACACAGGGGGAUAACACCUGGAAACAGGUGCUAAUACCGCAUAAGCGCACAGGGCCGCAUGGCCCGGUGUGAAAAACUCCGGUGGUGUAAGAUGGACCCGCGUCUGAUUAGCUUGCUGGCGGGGUAGGGGCCCACCAAGGCGACGAUCAGUAGCCGGCCUGAGAGGGUGGACGGCCACAUUGGGACUGAGACACGGCCCAAACUCCUACGGGAGGCAGCAG
rnacentral:rRNA from 1 species